CAGUAGCCGCGGGAAAACGUAGGGUGCGAGCGUUAAUCGGAAUUACUGGGCGUAAAGCGUGCGCAGGCGGCUUUGCAAGACAGAUGUGAAAUCCCCGGGCUCAACCUGGGAACUGCAUUUGUGACUGCAAGGCUAGAGUACGGUAGAGGGGGAUGGAAUUCCGCGUGUAGCAGUGAAAUGCGUAGAUAUGCGGAGGAACACCAAUGGCGAAGGCAAUCCCCUGGACCUGUACUGACGCUCAUGCACGAAAGCGUGGGGAGCAAACAGGAUUAGAUACCCCGGUAGUCCCUGUCUCUUAUAC
rnacentral:rRNA from 1 species